GGCCCUUUCAGGCUAUCGGUCGGAGCCUUGGCUUCUGUCCGCAGGCUCCGCCCCCUCCCGGUAACGCUCUUUGCUGCGGGGCGCGGCUGGGGGCGGGGGCGGGGCGGGGGUCCCGGGACCCUUCGAGGAUAUUACAGGGUGGAAACCAACACUAGUGAGAAAAGUCCUCUGAGGCUUCAUUUUCUACUAAUUGAAGAGAAAGGCACUGGCUUUGAAAACACAAACCAAAAACAGUUCCAGUUUCCGGAGGGGACCGUAGGCCUGCAGUAUGUGGAGUUGGGUGGCAGAUGCUAGGCAAACGGCUAUUUUCAUCUCUUGCACGAUUGCAGCGAAGCACCAACUGAUGACAAAAGGAAGUACUUCAAAAUUUUGCUAGUGAAUAUGUGAAUUGAAUGCCCAGAAGCAGUUAUGAAGCAUUUAGUGUGCCAUCUGAACUUUAACUUUGAUAUUCCUAAUGUAUUGAUGUUUACAUCUUCAUCUAUCUUCUUAUAACCACUUACGUAUUCAUUUAACUCUUUAUACACUUCUGACAUAUGUUCGUUUUAUGGUAGAUCGUUUGACACAUAUCCAUGUUAAACACCUAUUAAAAAUGACCAAACAUUGGUUAAUAUGAGCA
ensembl:antisense Smc2os structural maintenance of chromosomes 2, opposite strand